rnacentral:lncRNA from 1 species
AAAAUGAGGUCAGAAAUGAGGAGAGCUGGCGAAGAUUCCAACUCAUGGAUGGUAGAUGGACAUACGGAUGAAAAGUCAAAACAGCUUUUUAUGGAGUUGCUUCACCAGAGGCCUGGCCAUCAACCUCUCGAAUCACCAAGCAUGAAUCGUGGGGAACCCUAUGACAGGAUGGCUGCUUCAGGCUUCGGCUUUGCAGACCAUGGUGGUAGGCAAAACGCUUCAUCUUCUUUUGGGUCGCACGCAUCUUCUGAUGAACAUGUAAACGGAUUACCAGGAGAUGGGAACUAUAUGGGAUCGUUGCAGCGUGAUAAUUCAUUACUUUCUGGAAGUACCGAUGGUGGAAGAAAAAAUGAAACUAAAGACUUCAGUAAUAUGCUUGGUAUGAGCAAAGACGUGAAUGACAUCAGAACGUGGAACAAUGCACCACCGAAAAAGGAAGGAGCGGGGUUGAUGUCAUUUGAAGCACAAGACAGAAUGGGAAAGCAAGCAGUAAUGGAUUCCUUGGUUCAAGGGGAGGUUCCUGUUGCUACGCUUGGCAGACAGUCUUCUUCCAGUAUCUCUGGUAUGUAUCUUCCAGAGUUUAGAUUUCCUUUUCCCUGAAUAUAUCAUGUUUUUUUUUGUUAUGGGGGCUUAUGUUGAUAUUUUCUUUCUGCAGAGUCAUACAGUGACAACUUGGUUGGAGAAGUUAGAAAGGAUAGGUAAUUUUGUACUCUUAACGUUUAGCAACCGUAGAUUAGGUUAGUAGUAAAUCGCCAUGUGAGCUCUUAUUUGAUGAAAUGUUUUUAUUGUUAUAGGUUGGUAGUUCCAUCACACGGGCAGGUAUCAGUUUUGUUAAAAAGGCCUCCCUCAUCGCAUGAGGGAUUGCUCGAGCAGAUGUCCGAUGCAACUAACAGAACAGCAGUGGGAAAUAAAGGGUCAAAGGCGUCGUUCAGUGAGAUGUUGAAGAAUAGUAGUAGCAAUAGCAGCAUGAAGAAAGUGGCAGCAGAGCCAUCUUCUGAUCCAAACGAAGGAAACAAAGGCGGUGGUGGGAAGAAGAAAGGCAAGAAAGGGAGGCAGCUUGAUCCAGCUCUUCUCGGUUUCAAAGUCACUAGCAAUCGCAUUCUUAUGGGUGAAAUUCACCGCGCUGAUGACUUUUAGUCAAUUCUGAUACCCUGAGAUCCAUUCAAGCGUUUCUUCUUCUCCGGCGUAAUCAUGGUAUAAUUCGAUCUUUGCUUAUAAGUAAACCCUUCUUAUGUUUUUGUUUCUCUUUGAUUUUUGAUGGUCAAUGAUUUUCUCUUUGUUUGAAAUAUGAAUCACGUGAACAUUGUUUCAAUUAGCUAGAUGAGUCCUAAUAAUAUCUUUACAAAAUCACAUAUUUUUCGAAAUUUGAAUUGGAUUAACUUCCUUAUAUCUGCAUUAUUGUGGAUUGUUUACUUGAUUUGUUUUUGUUGAGUGUGAAUGAAUACUUGAUCCGGGAUGAACCAUUACUAACUACGAUCAUGGUGGAUCCGGGAUAUGAUAUUGAUUGAUUCUGUGUUGAUUUUGUUAUUGCAGAAAACUUACAAAGCUGACUCGCAGACAGGAAAGUGGAGAAGUUUGACAACGUUUAUAAAGAGAGGUUUUGUUCCUGAGACCACUACGUGUACGUUUAUGUGUAUCUCUUUAAGAUAACCUGUAAGGAACCAUGGUCUGGAAUAUGAAUCAUUCCUGUAUACAAUGUGUAUGUUACAGCUCUCUUCCAGAUCAUGAGGACUGCAGCUAGCGGAGAUACGGCUUAAACCGAAUCACAUUCAAGCUAGAAGAAUCAAGUUUAGAAAUGAAUCAUUCUUCUGUUUUUCUCUUCUUUUACCGUAGAAUGCAACUUUAUGUUUACUUGUGCAUGCUAAUGUAAUAAAUAGUAUUUUCUACAAGUUAUCAUAUCUUCAAGUUAGUUCACUUGGUACGACCCACACGCAGUUGAAACUCUCUGUAUACAAGGAGCAAGUGUAGUUUCCACUAGAUCUCGUCAAGUCUUAUGAGGUUGAUUACUCACAGGUUUAAGGAGUUCUGACCAGGUACAGAGAGAUUAAAGGGAAGCAUGUGCGCACGUGGCAUGAUACUCGGGAUCGUUAGCCGAGAAAUCAGAUACGAUUUUUGUUCGAUUUUUUAGUAUAUCCUUUUUCCGAAUUUUAAAAUAAUAAAAACUUUAAAUAACUAUUGCUCAACAACCUUAGAAAAUUGAGCUUGUUCUUAUAUAAAAAUCUCCACUUUGCCAUUAUUACAUUUUUUCGGGCUUUACACUGUACGAAGCCCAAGUCAUUCUCUUCACACAUUAACUAAAGCCCAAUAGCAUUUAAUUGGCCCAAUAAGAAUAACAAAUUUCGAUCCACUUUUCUAGGUUUGCGAAGGUAAAGUUGAAACGAGGACGACCAUAAAAACCAACUCGAAAGGCAAUUAAAAACAAAAUAAUAGAAAUUUUCUUCAAGAUCGCGAUCUUCAAUCCCGAAUCCCUAAUCCAUUCAAGCUUCUCCUCUCUUCUCCGGCGUAAUCAUGGUAUACUUCCUCUAAAGUCAACCCUUCCCUUUUUGUUAAAUCUGUGCAGCUUCUUCUUCUUCUCUCUGUAACUCCGAUCUCCCAGAUCUGAUUCACGAGCUUAACUAUCAAUGUUUGAAUCACGCGAAGUUUGUUUUCAAUUAGCUAAAUUGAGAUCCUAAUUUCGAAUCGGAUUAGCUGAAUUUAUUCCACUCUUUGUUUUGUGGUUGUUAGGACGUUCGAUCUCCUGCUCCCGUUCCCGUUGGAUCUCGGCGGCGUGAUAACAAGUGGUCAUCUCGUUGGGGUCCUGACGAUAAAGAGAAAGAGAAAGAAACCAAGGUUGACUACAACAACAAGGAGGAGGUUCAAAGUGAGACUCAAUCUGUGAUUGGGAGCCUCCGUGACUCUGAGACUCGUGAUAAAUGGAGGCCACGUCAUCGGAUGGAGCAGGUCCAGAGUGGUGGACCAGCUUCUUACCGUGCUGCGCCUGGGUUUGGACUUGAUAAAGGACGAAGUGAGGGACGAAGUGAGGGUCCAAACAUAGGGUUCACCGUUGGUCGGGGUAGGGCGAGGGGUACUUGGUCUGCUUUCUUUGGCGCUGGAGGGUUCUUGAGAAACGAAAGCGUUCCUGGUAAACCUGCGCCUACGUGUCGGUAUGUGAGGGGGAAGUUGCUUGACUUGUAUAGAAACCAGAAGCCUGAUAGGAUGCCUAUUGAUAUGGAGGAGGUUGAUUCUGUAACUCAAGUGGCUUUGAUUGAACCUCUUGCUUUUAUUGCCCCUGGUGUUGAAGAAGAGGUAUGAUCCUUACUUGAGGACUUGCUUUUUUCCUUUCUCAUGAGUGUGUCAUUGUUUUGUAACUAAUUUUCAUGUGUUUGUGGUCUGGGUGUUAUAUAUUUAUUUCAGGAAAGCCUUAAGGGUAUAUGGAAGGGAAGGAUCACUAGUAGCGAAGCUCACACUUCACCUGGGGAAGAAUCUUUAGCUGAGGAGAGUAUGGGUAUGUGUAAUCUUGUUUUUUCGUUGCUUUGCUUCUAUCUUUCCAACUAGCUUGGAUAAUGAAUGCUUCUGUGACUUGAUUCAGGUGAGACGAAAGUGGAUGGUGCUUUGCUAGGGGUUAUGAGUGGUGACAGUGUUUCCAUGCAUAAUAGUAAUUCAGGUAUGUGAAUAAUAGGUGCUAUACGGGUAUUCAAAUUCAUGAGUAUUAAAGCUUAAGUCCAUUGUUAUGAGUUUGAUGGUAUUUUAGUGUUCUAUUAUAUAUUCUGACCCAUAUCCAAACAACUGUUGCUGUAGGAGUACUUGGUAGUCAUAAUGGAGGCUUGUGGGGUGCUUCUGAAAGUGAUCAAGUUUCUCGUGGAAGUCCUGAAGCAGUUAGAUCUGCUUUUGAUAAAUCUUCUGUGUUGGAUGCGGAUGAACCCAUUGUUACGGGAAAGCUGCAGCAACCUGAUAUUGAAGUGAAUCACUCCGAAGGGACUCUGCCACCUGAGGAGUUUAUGUUCUCGUACAUUGAUCCUCAAGGAGUAAUACAGGGACCGUUCAUUGGAUCUGACAUUAUUUCAUGGUUUGAGCAAGGGUUUUUUGGGACUGAUCUACAGGUCCGCUUGGCAACUGCUCCAGAAGGGACUCCUUUUCAAGAUCUAGGCAGUGUCAUGUCGUAUUUAAAGACGGAAAGUAUGCAAGCCCACAUCAAUGAUCAAAUCAUCGAGCUAGAACAGACCAGUAGAAAAGCAAAUUCGGAGAUUGGUUUAUCAUUUGCACCCGUACAAGAAUCUAAUGGUUCAGCCUUAGGUCACGAUAAUGUUCAAAUACAGUCUAAAUCAGAAGCUUAUGUGAAACCACCACAUGUUGAUGACCGAAGUUUCUUGGACUUCUCUGCUCAAGAUGAAGGUUUGUUAUUCUACUGACAUUUUCUCACUUGUGUGCAUUUGUGUGGGUUUUUGUAUACUAAACAUACUUUUUGUAUUUUUUUCUUAAUCAGAAAUCGUAUUCCCAGGAAGAGCUAGAGUUUCUGGUUAUGGAUCGGCAAAAUCCUCUACAAGUAUGCAUGAUGCUUUAAUGGGAGUUUCUGGCCACCCUGCUAUUCCUGUUGAAUCAGCGAAGGUUGCUACUCAAAAUCAGAAUGAGAACAAGCUGCAUCCAUUUGGUGUGUUGUGGUCUGAGCUAGAGAGCAGUAGUACACCAGUUGAUCUUUUGCCUAACAGAUCGUAUGAUGACCAGAAGUAUCUUGAUCAAGCUCAGGAUUUGGAUCAUUUAACUCUCCAAUUGCAGCAGCAGCAGCAACAAAAGAUUCAGUUGCAACAGCAGCAGCAACAGAAGAUUCAGUUGCAACAGCAGCAGAAGAUUCAGCUACAACAACGUCAACUAGAACAAGAGUACCAAUUACAACAGAAGCUCUUACAGGAGCAACAACAGUCCCAUGCUCGGAAUUUACAUUUUCAACAGAUUCUUCAAGGACAGACUCCUGAUUCGAGACUUGGGCAGUCACAUGACUUCCAUCGACUCAACAAUGUUGAUCAGAUGUUAUUAGAGCAGCAACUAAUGGAUGAAUUGCAGAGUUCUGGCCAUAGAUCACAAAAUUUUACACCAUACAUGGAGCAGCUUGCCGCUGGAAAUUUUGGGCAGUUACAACAUGAAGGUCAUCAAAAAGAGCUACUUGAACAGCUACUUUCCGAACAAAUGCAAUCUCAAUACAGACAGAUGCAUUCUCAACAUGGCCACAUGCAAUCUGAACCAAUACGGUCUUUGGAGUACCAGCUACUACAACAAGAGCAGCUCAUGCGAUUGGCAAAUGGAGGGAGGCAAAAUACACUAUUGGAGGAACUGAGACAUAUUGACCCUCAACAUGGACAAAUGCAGUCUGAACCAAUACGGUCUCUGGAGUACCAAAUAAUGCAGCAAGAGCAGCUCAUGCAAUUGGCAGAUAGAGCGAGGCACAAUACGCUAUUGGAGGAACAUAGACAUAUUGAUCCUCUAUGGCCAUCCAACCGUAAUGAUCAGCUUCUAGGAGCUCAUCCUGGGAUCCACCGUUCACACUCUUCUGCGGGAUUUAGACCAGUAGACUUUCAUCAACAGCAGCAGAGGCCACCCUUUGAGGAUCACUUUAGUCAUCUUGAGCGGAACCUUUCAUAUCAGCAACAACUUAAUCAGGAAUUAUUCGAGCAAGGUCUACCCUUUGAGCGAUCUACAUCGGGGCUGAAUCUGGAUGCAGUAAAAGGUCUUAACCUCUCUGAGUUGCGGGAUGCCCAGAUGCAAUCUUCUGGUAGAUUAGGAAAUUCUACUCCGGGUUUCAGUCAUCAGAAUCCCCAUAUACAAUUAGGUGAACCUCAUUUUUCAGAAAUGGAACCAAGGAAAGAACGCUGGCAUGGAGCAGAUACACAGCUAGCUGGUGGCUGGCCUGAAACUCAAUUUCAUAGAUCAAAUACUGAAGCUGACCAUCAUAAAAUGAGGUCAGAAAUGAGGAGAGUGGGCGAAGAUUCCAACUCAUGGAUGGUAGAUGGACAUACAGAUGAAAAGUCAAAACAGCUUUUUAUGGAGUUGCUUCACCAGAGGCCUGGUCAUCAACCUCUCGAGUCACCAAGCAUGAAUCGUGGGGAACCCUAUGACAGGAUGGCUGCUUCAGGCUUCGGCUUUGCAGACCAUGGUGGUAGGCAAAACGCUUCAUCUUCUUUUGGGUCGCACGCAUCUUCU